CCCAAUACAAAUUUCAUUGAGAAAAAAGUCUCUUUGUUUUGUAGAACAUGAUAGUAAAGAUGUGGAGUUUCGUUCUUCUUAUUGGCCUCCUUUAGUUUUCCUUGAUCAACAACCACUAACCAAAAACACAAUUAGAUUAGAUUAUGAAUGAUACUUUCAACUAUGACAAUAUUAAAUACAAAACACUCUAAAUAACUCUAAAUAAAUGGAAAGCAGCAAAUUACCUGACGAGGCAAGCUAGCUCAAUUAAGACCAUUGUGUUAUACUUGUCUCUGAAUUGAAAAUUUUAGAAGAAAAUAAAG
rnacentral:lncRNA from 1 species